GCAAAACAGCUAGCCUAAACAUAAUAAAAAAUGAACACCCAUAUAUAACAAAACAACGAUUAAACAAAACAAAACAUUUUCCCACCCAAGUAUAGGCGAUAGAAAAGGAAACAAUAGAGCAAUAGAAAAAGUACCGCAAGGGAAAGCUGAAAAAGAAAUGAAAAAACCCAUAAAAAGCAAUAAAAAGCAGAGAUUUACCCUCGUACCUUUUGCAUCAUGAUUUAGCAAGUAAAACUCAAGCAAGAAGAAUCAUAGUUUGAGCCCCCGAAACUAGACGAGCUACUCCGGAGCAAUCUUAAAGGAUCAACCCGUCUCUGUGGCAAAAGAGUGGGAAGACUCCCGAGUAGAGGUGACAAGCCUACCGAGCCUAGUUAUAGCUGGUUGCUCAAGAAAUGAAUAUUAGUUCAGCCUUAAAUAAUUCUAAAGCCAAAAACAGCCAUAAAGAAUAAAGAAAUAUAUAAGAGUUAGUCAAAGGGGGUACAGCUCCUUUGAAACAGAACACAACCUUAUUCAGGAGAACAAGGAUCAAAUAAAUAUAAAGGAAAUCAAUCUUUCUCAGUGGGCCCAAAAGCAGCCACCUGUCCAGAAAGCGUUAAAGCUCAGAAAAAUUAAAACCAACAAUAAAGAUAAUAACCCUCCUAAUUCCCUAAUAAUAUUGAGCCGUCCUAUUUUUAUAGAAGAGAUUAUGCUAAAAUUAGUAAUAAGAGGGCCCGGGCCCUCUCCCGGCACACGUGUAAGUCAAACCGGACCAACCAAUGACGAAUAACGGACCCAAGAUAGAGGGAAAAACAAUAAAAAAUACAAACAAGAAAAACUUGUAAACAUGACCGUUAACCCAACACAGGAGUGCCUAAAGGAAAGACUAAAAGGAGAAGAAGGAACUCGGCAAACACAAACCUCGCCUGUUUACCAAAAACAUCGCCUCUUGCUAACAAAAUGUAUUAGAGGUCCCGCCUGCCCUGUGACCACAAAGUUUAACGGCCGCGGUAUCCUGACCGUGCGAAGGUAGCGAAUCACUUGUCUUUUAAAUGAAGACCUGUAUGAAUGGCAUAACGAGGGUUUAACUGUCUCCUUCCCCCAGUCAAUGAAAUUGAUCUGCCCGUGCAGAAGCGGACAUAAAAACAUAAGACGAGAAGACCCUAUGGAGCUUUAGGCCAAGGAACAAGCAUGUUAAUAGACUAUAAAAAACCAAAGAGACAAAAAAGUCACAAUAAACCAAAUGUAAAAUGAACCAAGUGCCUUCGGUUGGGGCGACCACGGGGAAAAGAUAAACCCCCACAUGGAAUGGAGAUAACCCUCCUAAACUAAGAAGUACACUUCUAAGUAACAGAAUUUCUGACCAAAAAUGACCCAGGAUAAUACAUCCUGAUCAAUGAACCAAGUUACCCUAGGGAUAACAGCGCAAUCCUUUCCCAGAGCCCAUAUCGACGAAAGGGUUUACGACCUCGAUGUUGGAUCAGGACAUCCUAAUGGUGCAGCCGCUAUUAAGGGUUCGUUUGUUCAACGAUUAACAGUCCUACGUGAUCUGAGUUCAGACCGGAGUAAUCCAGGUCGGUUUCUAUCUAUGAAAUUACUUCUUCCCAGUACGAAAGGACCGGAAAAAGAGGGCCUAUACUAAAAGCAAGCCCCACCCCCACCUUCUGAAAACAAAUAAAAAAAUAAAGGGGUAUAUAAAAAAUGCCGAAGAUAACGGCAU
rnacentral:rRNA from 1 species